GCUGCUGAUUUCAUGGUGCCAAGAAAAACCUCUAAGGAGAGAGAUUGGGAACCGUACCACAAACCGACACAGGUAGACGAGGAGAAUAUCCAAAGGCGCUCGAGUGAAAGCUUGUUAAGGAACUCGGCAAAUUAGACCCGUAACUUCGGGAGAAGGGUCGCCCCCUGGGUGUCAAAGCCUGGUGGGGCCUCAGUGAAAC
rnacentral:rRNA from 13 species